rnacentral:lncRNA from 10 species
AGAUUUUCAGGAAACUAGAUAUUCUGUCUGGGUAGAUUUAACUCUCACUGUUCUAGAAAUACUCCCAUUAGCCUAUGAUCUUUGCUUUGGCAUGGAGUCUGAUGACACAUUGAUACCAUUUUCUGCCUGUUAACCUACCAAAGGACACAAAACCCUCUUCAUUUCCCUAGAAGUACAUGUAAUAUUUCAAAAUGUAUCACGGGGCACAGCCAUCCCAGGAAAAAGAUGUAAGGUAAUGAGAUAACGUGAAGAAUUCUAGGCACUGAAACUCAAUUCUGGUGGUGAUUUUAGUCUGAGGAAACACAACAAAGGUCCUCAAGCACUAUAACUCCACAUACCAAGUGUGAAGCCACAUGUUCCCAGAUGAGUGAAGGCAGCGCUGGAACCCAGGGUCAGGCCAAGAAGAAUGGGAUCGUCAUGACUGGCUGGGAAAUGAAUCAUGGGCAGCCCAGACGCAGGGCUUUGAUCAGUCCAGCUUCCUCCUCCUAAGAAGUUUCCACCAGAACAUUGCUUGGUGACAUAGUGGUCUUCACCCUGAGCGUCUACAAAUGUAUGUUAAGUUGCUAUUAAGGACCUGUGGACAGAGAAGGCACACCACCACAGUGCUGUUAUAACCAAUACCAAUGAACAGAAACUACAGGGCACAGUGGAGACCCCCUGCAUUGCUGUAGUAUGCGUGCCUGCUGAUGAGAUGCAAAUAAACACAUGGGGUCACUCACGAGGAAUUCUUACCAAAACUGUCUAACCUGAAUCCAGCCAAGCUUUAAUCUAACCUCCGCUAUACAAGAAAUACAGAGAACAGAGGAAAAAGUUAAAGGACACCACAAGGAAACAGACAACCCAGAAAGUAGAAUGUUGUACAGAAAAACAAGUUAAGUCUCUUCAAUGGGUCAAUUUCAUCAAGAAUAAAGAAGCUGAGAAGGAACUCUUGUUUAAGAGACAUCGUAAAUGCACACUUUGAAAUACAUUCUGGUUUGAACAAAUUGUAAUAGUUAUAAAAGAUAUUUAGGAAAAUAGUGGAAAUUUGAAUAUGGGCUGUGUAUUAAAUUAUGUUAGAGAAUGAUUGUUAAUUUCAUUGGGUGGGAUGAUGCUAUUGUGGCUAUAUUUUAAAAGCCAUUAUUAUUUUAUGUAUGCAUUCUGGAUUAUUUAGAGUGGAAUAUUAACAGUAAUUUUCUUUAAAAUAGUCCAGAAAGAAAGAUAAAGAAAUAUGGCAAAUUGUUACGUAAGUUGGGUUUAUGCUUGUUCAUUAUACCAUUCUCUCUGCUUUUCUGCUAUGUUUUGAAAUUUUUUAUAAUAAUAAAAUUACCUUUGCUGGGGGAAGAGUGUUGGGAGGUAGAUUUCACAGAGAUGGUUGGAUCUGAGUAAUAACUAAAUUGAAGUAGUUAUGAGUGUCUUACAACGAAUGUCAAGAUGGAGUCAGCCCAUGCCACUGGAAGUCAUUUGAACUAUUAAAGAAGUCUCUACAACCAGUUAUAGAAUUACUUAUUUGCAUAAUUUUCUUAUUUGAAAGAUCUUUAGUUACCACCUGAUCCAACCAUAACAUUUUGUAGAAAAGAGAAGAGAGAUCAAAAUAAGUGAGGAUGUUGCUUAGUUUUUGUUGCCACCAGAAAAAUCAAUCCUCUUGACUUUGAGCCCACUCCUUCUUCUACUCAAUCCAAUUCUUAAUCUAAAAUUCCAUGACACUCUCUCUCUCUCUCUCUCUCUCUCUCUCUCUCUCUCUCUCUCUCUCUCUAUAUAUAUAUAUAUAUAUAUAUAUAUAUAUAUAUAUAUAUAUAUAUUUCGAGAUGAGGUUUCACUCUGCCACCCAGGCUGGAGUGCAGUGGCAUGAUCACAGCUCACAGCAGCCUCGACCUCCCCAGGCUCAGGUGAUCCUCUCAUCUCAGUUUUUGUAUUUUUAGUAGAAAUGGGGUUUCACCACAUUCCCCAGGCUGGUCUCGAACUCCUGCACUCAAGUGAUCCACCUGCCUCAGCCUGCCAAAGUGCUGGGAUUACAGGCGUGAGCCACCGUGCCCAGCUAAUUCUACUUUUUAACAACAAUAAGGGUAAAUUAUAUAAUACUUUUACACAUUUCAUAAUUUUUCGUAUGCUUUUCAUACGUUAUUUCUUUUAAUGCUUCCAACAACUCUAGAAGAUAGAUCAUUUUACAGAUAGAAAAACUGAGGUGAUAAGAAGUUGAACAACUUGCCUCAUGUCACAAAGGAAAAAGCUUGAGAUAGAAUCAAAGCAUAUUACAACUUCCAGCUCUGUGUUUUCUCAUUACUCUACAGACAGCACCUACACUUGUUAAAUGACAAAUGUCCAAGAUCUGAUUCCCCAACAGCCAAUUAGGGACAAUAUCUUGUAGCAGCAAGUUUCAUAUAACCAUUACUUGCAAUAUCAGGUAAAAGUCAAAUGCAUAACAUUAAAUAACAACCCACUGAAGGUAAUUAGCUAAUCCAAUGGUUGUCAGCUCAGACUGCACAUCAUAGACUCUAGAGUGGAGCUUGAUACUCUGGGUUUUAUAAAAGCGUCAUGGUGGCUGGGCGUGGUGGCUCACACCUGUAAUCCCAGCACUUUGGGAUUACUACACUUUGGGAGGCCAAGGCAGGUGGAUCAGGAAGUCAGGAGAUCGAGACCAUCCUGGCUAACACGGUGAAACCCCAUCUCUACUAAAAGUUCAAAAAAUUAGCUGGGCGUGGUGGUGGGUGCCUGUAGUCCCAGCUACUCGGGAGGCUGAGGCAGGAGAAAAGCGUGAACCUGGGAGGCAGAGCUUGCAGUGAGCCGAGAUUGCACCACUGCACUCCAGCCUGGGCGACAGAGCAAGACUCCAUCUCGGGGGAAAAAAAAAAAAAGUGUCAUGGGGCAGGGGAAAGGAGAUUCUGAUGUGCAGCCAUAAUUUAAAAUUGCUAAGAUAAACUACUAUUAUCCCAGCAUGUAGCCUUCACGUGGUAUAACUUGUGAAGAAUUAGAAUUUGGAAAUCUGAAAAAAUAAAUGACAUGCUACAACGUGGAUGAAUCCUGAAAAUUAUGCUAAGCAAAAGAAGCCAUUCACAAAGGACCAUAUAUUACAUAAUUUCAUUUGUAGGAAAUGUUCCAAAUAGGCAAAUCUAUAGAGAUAGAAAGUAGACUUGUGAUUGCCCAGGGCUGGGGAAUUUGGGUAACAUAGGGUGAUGGCUAAGAGGUUUGGGAUACUUUUUGGAGGAAUGAAAAUGUUCUAAAGUUGAUUGUGGUGAUAGAUGCACAAGACUGUGAAUAUACUAAAGCCCAUUAUAUAUUUCAAGUGAGUGAAUUGUAUGCUAUGUGAAUUUAGCCUCAUUAAAGCCUUUUUUUUAAGUGAAUGAAUUGAAUGUCUAGACAAUCCCCUAUGUUAACCAUUUCUCUCUCCUUACUUUUUGAUAAAAGCUGGAUUUUU